GAAGGCACAAGUGUAGGGCUGAAACGAUUAUUCGAAUAACUCGAUUAAAUCGAGUCAAAAAAUGAAUCGAUGCAGUUUCCCUGCAUCGAGUAAUCGUUACAUCACAUGAUCACGGAGCGGGAGUGAAAUUAAGCGUCUCACUCACCGCUUCCGUGUCCUCCGGAGGCCAGAG